GGGUUGUGAGGUUAAGCGACUAAGCGUACACGGUGGAUGCCCUGGCAGUCAGAGGCGAUGAAGGGCGUGCUAAUCUGCGAUAAGCGCCGGUAAGGUGAUAUGAACCGUUAUAACCGGCGAUACCCGAAUGGGGAAACCCAGUGUGAUUCGUCACACUAUCAUUAACUGAAUCCAUAGGUUAAUGAGGCGAACCGGGGGAACUGAAACAUCUAAGUACCCCGAGGAAAAGAAAUCAACCGAGAUUCCCCCAGUAGCGGCGAGCGAACGGGGAGGAGCCCAGAGCCUGAAUCAGCAUGUGUGUUAGUGGAAGCGUCUGGAAAGGCGCGCGAUACAGGGUGACAGCCCCGUACACAAAAGCGCAUGUGUUGUGAGCUCGAUGAGUAGGGCGGGACACGUGGUAUCCUGUCUGAAUAUGGGGGGACCAUCCUCCAAGGCUAAAUACUCCUGACUGACCGAUAGUGAACCAGUACCGUGAGGGAAAGGCGAAAAGAACCCCGGCGAGGGGAGUGAAAAAGAACCUGAAACCGUGUACGUACAAGCAGUGGGAGCACCCUUUGGGGUGUGACUGCGUACCUUUUGUAUAAUGGGUCAGCGACUUAUAUUCUGUAGCAAGGUUAACCG
rnacentral:rRNA from 1 species